rnacentral:rRNA from 1 species
GAAAUGUGAUAAGUAAUGUGAAUUGCAGAAUCCAGUGAAUCAUCGAAUCUUUGAACGCAUCUUGCGCUCCUUGGUAUUCUGAGGAGCAUGCCUGUUUGAGUGUCAACUAAACUAUCAAAACACAACUCUUGAUUGAUGAUGUGUUUUUGGACUUUGGGACUGUGCURGCUGUGCCCAGCUGUCCUCAAAAGAAUUCAUUGGCUUUGGAGAUGCAACAGUGUUGAUAAGUUGUCUAUGCUGGUAUUGCAUCUCUUUGCUUCUAGAAGAUUUUAUGAUCGUUUGACCUCAAAUCAGGUAGGAUUACCCGCUGAACUUAA